CCUACGGGUGGCAGCAGUGGGGAAUAUUGGACAAUGGGCGCAAGCCUGAUCCAGCAACGCCGCGUGAGUGAAGAAGUAUUUCGGUAUGUAAAGCUCUAUCAGCAGGGAAGAAAAUGACGGUACCUGACUAAGAAGCCCCGGCUAACUACGUGCCAGCAGCCGCGGUAAUACGUAGGGGGCAAGCGUUAUCCGGAUUUACUGGGUGUAAAGGGAGCGUAGACGGCAGCACAAGUCUGGAGUGAAAUGCCAGGGCUUAACCCCGGAACUGCUUUGGAAACUGUGCAGCUAGAGUGCAGGAGAGGUAAGUGGAAUUCCUAGUGUAGCGGUGAAAUGCGUAGAUAUUAGGAGGAACACCAGUGGCGAAGGCGGCUUACUGGACUGUAACUGACGUUGAGGCUCGAAAGCGUGGGGAGCAAACAGGAUUAGAUACCCGGGUAGUC
rnacentral:rRNA from 1 species